GACGAACGCCGGCGGCGUGCUUAUCACAUGCAAGUCGAACGGGGCUCAUCGCUUCGGUGGUGGGUCUAGUGGCGAACGGGUGAGUAACACGUGGGCAACCUGCCCCCGGCUCUGGGAUAACUCCAAGAAAUUGGGGCUAAUACCGGAUGUGACCGCUGGCCGCAUGGUCGGGUGGUGGAAAGGGUUUCCGGCUGGGGAUGGGCCCGCGGCCUAUCAGCUUGUUGGUGGGGUAGUGGCCUACCAAGGCGACGACGGGGAGCCGGCCUGAGAGGGUGACCGGCCACACUGGGACUGAGACACGGCCCAGACUCCUACGGGAGGCAGCAGUGGGGAAUAUUGCGCAAUGGGCGGAAGCCUGACGCAGCGACGCCGCGUGGGGGAUGACGGCCUUAGGGUUGUAAACCUCUUUCAGCAGGGACGAAGCCGCGAGGUGACGGUACCUGCAGAAGAAGCACCGGCCAACUACGUGCCAGCCGCCGCGGUAA
rnacentral:rRNA from 1 species